rnacentral:rRNA from 1 species
GAAGAGGAGCUUGCUCCUUUGGCGUCGAGCGGCGGACGGGUGAGUAAUGCUUGGGAACAUGCCUUGAGGUGGGGGACAACCGUUGGAAACGACGGCUAAUACCGCAUAAUCUCUACGGAGCAAAGGGGGCUUUUAGCUCUCGCCUUUAGAUUGGCCCAAGUGGGAUUAGCUAGUUGGUAAGGUAAUGGCUUACCAAGGCGACGAUCCCUAGCUGGUUUGAGAGGAUGAUCAGCCACACUGGAACUGAGACACGGUCCAGACUCCUACGGGAGGCAGCAGUGGGGAAUAUUGCACAAUGGGGGAAACCCUGAUGCAGCCAUGCCGCGUGUGUGAAGAAGCUUCGGUUGUAAAGCACUUUCGCAAGAGAAAGGUAGUAGUUAAUACCUGCUAGCCGUGACGUUACUUGCAGAAGAAGCACCGGCUAACUCCGUGCCAGCAGCCGCGGUAAUACGAGGUGCGAGCGUUGAUCGGAAUUACUGGGCGUAAAGCGUACGC